GUGCUCACUUUGGCAGCACACAUACUAAAAUUGGGGCGAUACAGAGAAGAUUAGCAUGGCCCAUGCACAAGGAUGACACGCAAAUUUGUGAAGUGUUUCCUAUUUUU
rnacentral:snRNA from 1 species